rnacentral:pre_miRNA from 12 species
AACCUGGAAUCUCCAAUGGCCACGUGUAUGCUCGUAGCUAUAACGUGAAAUGCGAAAUGUUAUUGCUUGAGAAUACACGUAGUUCAGAGAGAUUUGUUCAGC